CUGCUAUCAGCAGUGGAAGUGUGAUGGCUUCACAUGGGGGGGGGGGGGGCAGAUUUAUUUCAAAACUAUUCCCACAAAUGCACGCGUGACUUUGUUCAUUUGUUUUUCGAAAGGAGGUUGCUCAUUGUACUUUAGGUGUGGGGAGAGAUGCAUUGCGAGUGCGGGCACGUUUGGAAAUGGACGGGUUGAAAGUAAAAAUUAGUCAGAUUAUUGGGCCAAAGGCGCAGCCGCCAGACUCGGAGCACAUGCGGAAGGGACGCCAACCUGCAUUUGGACAUGCGUGAGUACUGAGCUGUGUGGUGUGCUUGAAGAGCUGAUGUCCGAUGUCACAUUGCACCACAAGAUGGAGAGUAGACAAUCACAAAAGCAGAGGAAAAAGUUGCAAGUUAGUCUGAUUGUUUCUGGGUGGCGAAGUGGUCAGCUCUUGAGAAGAACGUGGGACAGGUGUGUUGACCUGAGAGGAAAGGCAUCCGUGAGUUACACGCUGGCCCAAAGUUUGACUUCAGCACCUUGUGAAUAACAGGAACAAGAGCAAAAAGUGUUGCCUGCAGGUCUGUGCUCGUAGAUGGACUCUGGCGCUGAGCAGGUCGCUCCCUCUUGUGGCACGGAGGACCCAAGAACAAUCUUCUUUCAACUCUGAAAAAUGAAAUGAGGCUUGUGUUGGGUCGGUCUCAGUGACAGAGUGAGGCUGCUGCUGUCUUCUACUCUGAUUAAAACAAUGUUGUCUUUUCCU